AGAGGUGAGAGGAAGCGACUGGGUUUUACCUUCACAAAGGGACAGAGCCCACAUGUCUGCCAGACCUGACAUGCUUUUUUCUUUCUUCGCCCCUUUUUUCCUCCUCGCACGGCUGCUGUGUAAUGAGCCUAUCUGGUCUUAAGAGAGAGUAUUAGCAGUCUGCCGGCUCUGUCUGCUAUCUGUGACACUUCACCACUGAGGAGGAGGAGAGCCAUUUUCUCUUUGAAGAAGAUAUCAGAAUCAUUUCAUAUUUCCUGCUCAUCAUCUCUCAGAGCGGAGCUGCAGGGCUGCUGAGCUGGACUCAAUCACGGCUCAACACCUCACACUCAUGAGAGGGUCAGCGGGGGAUUAGAAGGUAUACAGGAGCUUUUCCUAAAUUAGCACCUCUCCUGGUGGCGGGAGAUAUGCCACAAAUACUUUUCAUCUCUGUGCAUUCUAAUAAAGGACCAUGCCGAGGUGUUGGUGCAGUGACAUCCUUGCUCUGGAUGGUCAUCAGAUAGGAAUUUUACCUAAAUAUUGAACAAACCCCACACCCUUUGGAACCGUACAUGUUCGAGCCAGAGUCCGACCCAGAACUACAAGAGGCUCCAGAGGAAAGUCAGCAGCCAAGAAUGAACAAGGAUGUUUCUCAGUGGCAGAGCAGAUAUGAUAACUGUGCUUGCCAUGGGAUGGAACCAGAGGAAGGUGGAGAGUCUCCAGAAGACACUGGCAAAGAGAUGUGUCAAAGCAAGAAGACUAUAUUAGUUUCUCUAUGCAGCUGCAGGUGAGGUGGCCGGGCCUGCUCGCACAUCAUAUCGCUGCGGAUGAAAUAUUAAAGAGCAGCUGAGAUGAACACCCAGCCGGUAUCAGCAGCAGCAGAGUGAAGCUGCCGCAGGAAACAGAGAUGGACGGGCGUUUGGAGAGCUGAAGCUCAGGCAGAGAGGCGAUGAGAAAGUCCUGAUUCAUCACUGCGUCGCACUGAUCAUAUGAUGAUGUCGGAAUGUCUGAGAGGUAAAGAGCUGCUGACUGCUGCACAGAGCUCAAGAGGAAGACAGAAAACUUCAACAUAAAUAUCUCAAAACUACUGUAAUUAAUGUUAUUAAUCAUCUUUCAUGCCAGCUCAAGAUGGUCACGGCUUCUGUGCCAAGAUCUUCUGCGUGGAUUGGCUCAAGAUUUUUAGAGACGUUCACAUUUCUGAUGACUCUGAUGAGCUUUGAAAGCCCCCGUGAUGUUCACACUCAUUA